rnacentral:rRNA from 1 species
GAUGAACGCUGGCGGCGUGCCUAAUACAUGCAAGUCGAGCGAACGGACGAGAAGCUUGCUUCUCUGAUGUUAGCGGCGGACGGGUGAGUAACACGUGGAUAACCUACCUAUAAGACUGGGAUAACUUCGGGAAGCCGGAGCUAAUACCGGAUGAUAUUUUGAACCGCAUGGUUCAAAAGUGAAAGACGGUCUUGCUGUCACUUAUAGAUGGAUCCGCGCGGAGUUAGCUAGUUGGUAAGGUAACGGCUUACCAAGGCAACGAUGCAUAGCCGACCUGAGAGGGUAAUCGGCCACCCUGGAACUGGGCCACGUUCCAGACCCCUAGGGGGGGCGGCAGUAGGAAAUCUGCCGCAAUGGGCGAAAGCCUGACGGGGCAACGCGGCGGGAGUGAGGAAGGUCUUCGGUUCGUAAAACUCUGUUAUUAGGAAAGAACAUAUGUGUAAGUAACUGUGCACAUCUUGACGGUACCAAAGCAGAAAGCCACGGCUAACUACGU